GAUGAAGAACGCAUCGAAAUGCGAUACGUAAUGUGAAUUGCAGAAUUCAGUGAAUCAUCGAAUCUUUGAACGCAUAUUGCGCUCUCUGGUAUUCCGGAGAGCAUGCUUGUUUGAGUAUCAGUAAACACCUCAACUCCCUUUUCUUUUUUGAAAUUGGAGCUGGACUUGAGUGAUCCCAACGCUUUCUUCCAAGAAAGUGGCGGGUUGCUUGAAAUGCAGGUGCAGCUGAACUUUUCUCUGAGCUAUAAGCAUAUCUAUUUAGUCUGCCUAAAAAACAGAUUAUUACCUUUGCUGCAGCUAACAUAAAGGAGACUAGUUCUUGUGCUGACUGAUGCAGGAUUCACAGAGACAGCUUCGGCUGACUUUGUAAACUCGAUCUCAAAUCAAGUAAGACUACCCGCUGAACUUAAGCAUAUCAAUAAGCGGAGGA
rnacentral:misc_RNA from 1 species